UCGAGAAUCUUUCGCAAUGGGGGAAGCCCUGACGACGCGACACCGCGUGAGCGAUGAAGGCCUUCGGGUUGUAAAGCUCUGUCGCUAGGGAGGAAAGACUCCGAAUGAAUAGUUCGGAAGUUUGACAUUACCUGGAGAGGAAGCCCCGGCUAACUCCGUGCCAGCAGCCGCGGUAAUACGGAGGGGGCAAGCGUUGUUCGGAUUUACUGGGCGUAAAGGGUGCGUAGGUUGGCAGGCAAGUGAAUCGUGAAAUCCUAAAGCUUAACUUUAGAACUGCGUUUCAAACUGCUUGUCUUGAGUAUUGGAGAGGUAAGUGGAAUUCUCAGUGUAGCGGUGAAAUGCGUAGAUAUUGAGAGGAACACCAUAGGUGAAGACGGCUUACUAUCCAAAUACUGACGCUGAGGCACGAAGGCAUGGGGAGCAAACAGG
rnacentral:rRNA from 1 species